AGUACAGAUUUUUAUCUCCUCAGGUUCAAAGUUGUCAAUGGGAAAACAGGAAGCAUUUGAGAUUUUCAUAAGAGAUCACGAGGAACAUCAAACCAUUGAAGAGAAUUCGAAUAUACUCAAAGAAAGGUCAGAUGAGGCCAGAAGACUUGGAGAACAACUAAAGGGAGCCAGAAACAGAAUCACUGAAUUGAAGAAGCAAUUGGAGACGCGGAGGAGACAAAGGGCAGCUCAGGCUGUGACAGGGAACGAUACGCAGGACGGGGAGGAGAACGACCCCCUGGAAGAAAGCCUCUGCAAACAAAUUAAGCAAGAGAAAGUAACCUACAACAGCAACCUUGGCCGCCUAAAGGCUCUGAGGACAGAGAUCGAGCAUCUGCAGCUGUUGAUGGACAGGGUGAAGGUCAAGAUCCAGAAGGAUUUCCUGAAGUGGUGGAGUCAGGAGGCUUUGAAUCUGCAGGAGUCUGAGUCGGAAACUGAAGCGAAAUAUGGCUCUACAUCUCAAAAUGAAACCUUGCAACCAUCUUCACCUGGCACUCCAGGAUUUUGCUCUCCUGAGCUAAGCAGCACAAUGAAGGAGUCUCCGUCAAAGCAGGACACAAAUCCGGACCAUUCGGUCUCUUCUGCUCCUGAACUGAGCUGUCUUGAACCCAUAGACAAACUUCCAGCCCCAGUUUGGUCAGCCUGGAACAAGUCCCAAGAGGAGAGUAAGAAUUCAUACUGGAGGGACCUUUCCACAACAACCCUCACGUCUUCUUCCAUUCCACUGACUGGAGAUCAGGAAGUUGAUUCUGACAUCCUGGCCUUUGUUAUGGCCCGGAAAAAUCUCCUCAGCAGGAUAGCUAUUCAGAGAAGCUGAGGUCCUAGGCUACUUGAGCUACUAGACUACUUUUUUUUUUUUUUACAAUACAGAAAAAAACAGUCUAAAUGAGGCCCUGGUAAAGAUGUGAAGUGAAGUUCUAACGAGGAGCCAUAUCAUCACUUCCAGUCAAAACGAAUGGUCUGGGAAUUUGUAUUGCCACAGUCCACUCAUGCUUUCUCCUUCUGGACAGCAGCAUAAACCACAGACUGUGUCUAAUGUUUGAUCUAAACCCUUUUACUAAUAAAACAACAGAAAAAAGACAGAAGAAUAACCAGAAAAGAGCCGCAGUAUUUGUUGAAAUCUUGUGAAACGUUUUAAUUGGUGACAUGAUGUUUCAACAUUUAGAAAGAAGUGCUUUUUUAUAUAUUUCCAGCUGAGUUUGCUCUAUUAAUUUUUAUGUAAAUUAAUAUAAAACUAUGGGAUGUAGUGUGAAUAAUAAAGCUUUUCAUUGCUUUUCCCAAACAAUUAAGGCAAAAGUAGUGCAACUGUGA